CAGUGCCAAGGUGCAGCAGGCAGGGGCCUGUUACAAGGUUACACAAGAGGCGGGGGGGCAAUCUCAACAUUAAGAUUUCCUAGGGCUUUGAAUGCUACAAGCAAAUGGGGAUGCGAUGGGCUGAGGGUCAGAGGAGUGGUAAGGGAUGGAUCAGCCUGCAUAUAGCCUGGUUAAUUCAUCUUGCCCAGGGCUGUCUGACUGAUGCCCUGUGGACAUGAGCAUUUUCCUUCCUCAUAAAAGCUGGAGCCAUCCACAAAAAUGUCUAAGCCCCUAUUCACAUUUGUGCUCUGAGGACAAGGCAGAGAGAGAGUAUUUCCAGGGAAUGUGGAGUUUCCACCAGGACACUUUGGGGGAUGUUCACCAUACAACAAGGCCAUAAGUAACACUGGUACACUGUGAACCAGUUCCAAAGAGUUCCUGCUUUUCCAGAGACACUCAUGACCCUUUCCAAAUGGUUUUAAACAGCCUCAAGAGGAAUUUGUAGGAAAAAACCCCAAGUUUAAAAUGAAAACAAAAAUUAAAAUUCAAAUUACAAAUCCUGAAUGAAGUCAUUCCAACAAGAGCAUUGAAAUGCUUCACUCAGAAGGAUCAAAGCAGGACAUGUCAAGCUCAUAGUUGCUUAAGUCCUUUUGAAAAUCUUGCCACCAGUCUGAUGGCAGUGUGCUGGGCUGGACUGUCCAGUCCAGACCUGAUUGUCCAGAUCUAGGCCAAGGACACUCCUUUUAAAGCCAGAAAGCUGAACAGGUAUAAAACGAGCAAUGCAGCAGUGGCUCAUACCAUGCCCCUUUCUUUGUUGUUUCACACUUUUGCAUCCUGCCUCACCUUAUAGCUCAGGUGUGUUUGUAGCCUGCCUGGCUUAUGGGCGCAUUCAUAGGACAUGGCUCCUUGUAGCCC